AGAGAGAGACAUGCGCGCAUAUCAAUAAGCGGAGGAAAAGAAACUAACAAGGAUUCCCCUAGUAACGGCGAGUGAAGCGGGAAGAGCUCAAAUUUGAAAUCUUAAAGGGUUUCCCUUUACGAAUUGUAGUUUAAAGAAGUGUUUUCUGUUGAGGUUUUGGUAAAAGUUCUUUGGAAUAGGACAUCAUAGAGGGUGAGAAUCCCGUAUUUGACCUUUACUUUCAACUUUGUGAUACACUUUCAAAGAGUCGGAUUGUUUGGGAAUGCAGUCCAAAAUGGGUGGUAAAUUUCAUCUAAAGCUAAAUAUUGGCGAGAGACCGAUAGCGAACAAGUACCGUGAGGGAAAGAUGAAAAGAACUUUGAAAAGAGAGUUAAACAGUACGUGAAAUUGUCAAAAGGGAAGCGUUUGACACCAGUGUUGUUUUUCUGAAAAUCAAUUAGAGAACUGUUUAUGCUAAGCUGUUUAGACUUUAUCAGCUAUCUGUUUAGUUUUGAGCUUUUCUUUAAUGCACUUUUCAGUUAACAAGUCAACAUCAAUUUCUUUUGCUGUAAAAAAGCUUGAGGAAGGUGGCUUGAGAUUCGUCUUAAGUGUUUAUAGCCUCUUGCCUAUGCAGUCGGAGAGAUUGAGGUCUGCAGCGUAGAUCCUUCGGGGCUAAAUGCAUUUGUGCUAAGUUAUAGCAUUUUAUAGACAACUUGUUGACUAUGAUUUGUCUUGUAGCUUACUCGCUUAUGUUAUUUUACCUACGCUUAGGAUGUUGACGCAUGAGAUAUACGC
rnacentral:rRNA from 1 species